UAGGUGCUGACACCAUGCUGCUUUAAUAAUGAUAGUUCCAAGGAAUUAUUUUGUAAUCUUCAUUGGAACAUAAAGAAGGCUGAGGGCCAAAAAUCUGAUGCUUUUGAAUUGUGGAGAAGACUCUUGAAAGUCCUUUGGACUGCAAGGAGAUCAAACCAAUCAAUCCAAAAGGAAAUCAACCUUGACUUUUCAUUGGAAGGACUGAUACUGAAGUUGAUACUGAUAAUGAUACUUUGGCCAUCUAAUGUGAAGAGCUGACUCAGUGGAAAAGGCUGAUGCUGGGAAAGACUGAAGGCAAAAGGAGAAAGGAGCGGCAGGGAAUGAGAUGGUUAGAUAGUAUCACUAACUCAGUGGACAUGAACGUGAGCAAACUCUGGGAGAUAAUGAAGGAGAGGGAAGUCUGGCAUGCUGCAGUCCAUGGGGUUACAAAGUCAGCCAAUAGUGAGUGGCUGAACAACAACAUCAUUUGAAUUUUAUAUUUUUUGUCAUAAAUCUUUUCCACAUUUUCUGUUAUAUUUUUACACAGGCAGUUUAUUUAUGUGGUGCCUAAGCAUCCCAUUCUGUUUAUUAGUAUCAUGGGGGAGGGCAGUGGAGGAUGAGAUGGUUAGAUAGCAUCACUGACUCAAUGGACAUGAAUUUGAAUGAACUCUGGGAGAUAGUGAAGGACAGGGAAGCUUGGUAUGUUGCAGUCCGUGGGAUCUCAAAGAAUUGAACAUGACCUAGCAACUGAACAAUAACAACAUUAAUAACAAGUCUAUUUAUUUUGCUACAUUAAUUUUGCAUCCAACUCUUUUCCUGAGUUAUUCAUAUCACAUGCAAUAAUUUUCAUGUGGGUUCUUUUGGAGUUUUCAAGUAAAAAAGUUAAGAAUCUAUAACUAAUAUAAACUCCAUCUUUAAAAAUUUUAUACUUCAUUUCUUUUCCUGGCCUAAUUGUGUUAACUAUGUUAACUAGUAUGUCUAACACUGUAAAAUUAUAGUGAUAGAAUGGUAGAAUUAUCUGUUCUCUAAACUUUGGUUAUAAUUAACCUUUGAAAUUGCCUAGGUCAGCUACUUUCUUAGGAGUACUAUUUGAUGGUAAAAAUUUUAAAAGUAAGGUGAUUUAUCUGUCUAUGUUUUCUUUCUAUUUUGGAGUUUGUUGUUUAGUCACUAAGUUGUGUCCAACUCCUUGCAACACAAUGGGCUGUGGCCCACUUGGCUCCUCUGCCCAUGGGCUUUCCCAGGCAAGAAUACUGGAUUGGGUUGCCAUUUCCUUCUCCAGGGGAUCUUUCUAAUGCAGGGGUUGAACCUGCAUCUCCUGCAUUGGCAGCUGGGUUCUUUACUGCUGAGUAUCAGGGAAGCCCUCUUGUGGAGUUACUAUUGGCAAAUUAUUUUUCCCCAGAAAAUUAUUCUUUUUAUCUAGAUUUUCAAUAAAUUUGUAUGAUAUUAGGCAAAAUAUUUUGUUUAACUUCCUUUGUAUGUGAUUAUUUUCUGAUUUUUUAUUUCUUUCUUUGGUUAUUUAGGCUUUAAAAUGAAAGUUUUUGAAAGAUUGGAGACAUUAAGUCAUACUUGUCAGUGGCAACGAUUCAGGGGCUUGAUCUUUUUCAGAUAGGAUAUUUCAGAGAAGACCUUUUAUUUACCCCAAAGCAAUGUGUGGUUUUUUGAACAGGGAACCUACAUCUGUAUGUCUGUGUGGUCUGUGAGCUUCUUGAAGCCUGCUCUUCCUCUCUCUCUCAUAUAAAGAAACUUAUUAAACUAUUUCUCAUAAGCUACAGAAACAAUUCUUUACCAUGACAGGGAGAUGGAGUUCUAAUUUAUAGCCAAAAUGAGAAAACAUUUGAUGCUGGAAUCUGUAUAAGAUCCAGGUUGUUUCCAAUUUUUUUUCUCACUGCACUUCUGGAACCCACAAAAGAUAACAGGAAGAGGGCCAAAUCUCAGAAUGACUGAAAGUCUGGGUAAUAGGUAAGGUCAUUUCCAUCUCUCAUGUAUACCAACACAUCCUGUGUACCCUGCCUUGAAGACACAUGCAAAUAUGUGUCCAUAACAUUUUUUCCUUGUAAACUUUUAAGGAACUAAGAGUAAAUAUAAUGAUUUAAUGCA